GACGAACGCUGGCGGCGUGCCUAAUACAUGCAAGUAGAACGCUGAAGAGAGGAGCUUGCUCUUCUUGGAUGAGUUGCGAACGGGUGAGUAACGCGUAGGUAACCUGCCUUGUAGCGGGGGAUAACUAUUGGAAACGAUAGCUAAUACCGCAUAACAAUGGAUGACACAUGUCAUUUAUUUGAAAGGGGCAAUUGCUCCACUACAAGAUGGACCUGCGUUGUAUUAGCUAGUAGGUGAGGUAACGGCUCACCUAGGCGACGAUACAUAGCCGACCUGAGAGGGUGAUCGGCCACACUGGGACUGAGACACGGCCCAGACUCCUACGGGAGGCAGCAGUAGGGAAUCUUCGGCAAUGGGGGCAACCCUGACCGAGCAACGCCGCGUGAGUGAAGAAGGUUUUCGGAUCGUAAAGCUCUGUUGUAAGUCAAGAACGAGUGUGAGAGUGGAAAGUUCACACUGUGACGGUAGCUUACCAGAAAGGGACGGCUAACUACGUGCCAGCAGCCGCGGUAAUACGUAGGUCCCGAGCGUUGUCCGGAUUUAUUGGGCGUAAAGCGAGCGCAGGCGGUUUGAUAAGUCUGAAGUUAAAGGCUGUGGCUCAACCAUAGUUCGCUUUGGAAACUGUCAAACUUGAGUGCAGAAGGGGAGAGUGGAAUUCCGUGUGUAGCGGUGAAAUGCGUAGAUAUAUGGAGGAACACCGGUGGCGAAAGCGGCUCUCUGGUCUGUAACUGACGCUGAGGCUCGAAAGCGUGGGGAGCGAACAGGAUUAGAUACCCUGGUAGUCCACGCCGUAAACGAUGAGUGCUAGGUGUUGGAUCCUUUCCGGGAUUCAGUGCCGCAGCUAACGCAUUAAGCACUCCGCCUGGGGAGUACGACCGCAAGGUUGAAACUCAAAGGAAUUGACGGGGGCCCGCACAAGCGGUGGAGCAUGUGGUUUAAUUCGAAGCAACGCGAAGAACCUUACCAGGUCUUGACAUCCCGAUGCUAUUUCUAGAGAUAGAAAGUUACUUCGGUACAUCGGUGACAGGUGGUGCAUGGUUGUCGUCAGCUCGUGUCGUGAGAUGUUGGAUUAAGUCCCGCAACGAGCGCAACCCCUAUUGUUAGUUGCCAUCAUUCAGUUGGGCACUCUAGCGAGACUGCCGGUAAUAAACCGGAGGAAGGUGGGGAUGACGUCAAAUCAUCAUGCCCCUUAUGACCUGGGCUACACACGUGCUACAAUGGUUGGUACAACGAGUUGCGAGUCGGUGACGGCAAGCUAAUCUCUUAAAGCCAAUCUCAGUUCGGAUUGUAGGCUGCAACUCGCCUACAUGAAGUCGGAAUCGCUAGUAAUCGCGGAUCAGCACGCCGCGGUGAAUACGUUCCCGGGCCU
rnacentral:rRNA from 1 species